GUGACGCUGCCACGGCCCUCGUGAAGGAUCCCAGGUUCAUCCCCUGGUGUCCGGUGUGCCUCAGGGACUUCGCCUGGAGCUUCCAGGAACCUCCUGGUGGGCCCUUGCGCAGUUAAUGAAGACUGGAGACAGGGAGACAAGUUAAGAUGGCACUUCAGUGGCCCAGGUGUUGAAUGUGUCGUCUUUGUGUGGUUCACAACAGAAAAGUGGGCCCCCAGGAACAAUGUCUGUUCUGUGCAACUGUGUCCUCAGUUAUAAUGGAC